UAGGAAGGCAGCAGUGGGGAAUAUUGGACAAUGGGCGAAAGCCUGAUCCAGCCAUGCCGCAUGAGUGAAGAAGGCCUUCGGGUUGUAAAGCUCUUUUAGUGAGAAAGAUAAUGACGGUACUCACAGAAGAAGUCCUGGCUAACUCCGUGCCAGCAGCCGCGGUAAUACGGAGAGGGCUAGCGUUAUUCGGAAUUAUUGGGCGUAAAGAGCGCGUAGGCUGAUUAGUAAGUUAAAAGUGAAAUCCCAAAGCUUAACUUUGGAAUUGCUUUUUAAAACUGCUAGUCUAGAGAUUUGAAAGAGGAUAGAGGAAUUCCUAGUGUAGAGGUGAAAUUCGUAAAUAUUAGGAGGAACACCAGUGGCGAAGGCGUCUAUCUGGUUCAAAUCUGACGCUGAGGCGCGAAGGGCGUGGGGAGCAAACAGGGAUUAGAUACCCGU
rnacentral:rRNA from 1 species